rnacentral:rRNA from 1 species
GACGAACGCUGGCGGCGUGCUUAACACAUGCAAGUCGAACGGAAAGGCCCUGCUUUUGUGGGGUGCUCGAGUGGCGAACGGGUGAGUAACACGUGAGUAACCUGCCCUUGACUUUGGGAUAACUUCAGGAAACUGGGGCUAAUACCGGAUAGGAGCUCCUGCUGCAUGGUGGGGGUUGGAAAGUUUCGGCGGGUGGGGAUGGACUCGCGGCUUAUGAGCUUGUUGGUGGGGUAGUGGCUUACCAAGGGUUUGAAGGGUAGCCGGCCUGAGAGGGUGACCGGCCACAAUGGGCCUGAGAGACGCACCAGACUCCUACGGGAGGCAGCAGUGGGGAAUAUGGCACAAUGGGCGGAAGCCUGAUGCAGCAACGCCGCGUGCGGGAUGACGGCCUUUGGGUUGUAAACCGCUGUAGCUUGUGACGAAGCGUGAGUGACGGUAAUGGGUAAAGAAGCACCGGCUAACUACGUG